GACGAACGCUGGCGGCGUGCCUAACACAUGCAAGUCGAGCGAUGAAGUUUCCUUCGGGAAAUGGAUUAGCGGCGGACGGGUGAGUAACACGUGGGUAACCUGCCUCAUAGAGGGGAAUAGCCUCCCGAAGGGAGAUUAAUACCGCAUAAUAUUACAGUUUCGCAUGAAACAGUAAUUAAAGGAGCAAUCCGCUAUGAGAUGGACCCGCGGCGCAUUAGCUAGUUGGUGAGGUAACGGCUCACCAAGGCGACGAUGCGUAGCCGACCUGAGAGGGUGAUCGGCCACAUUGGGACUGAGACACGGCCCAGACUCCUACGGGAGGCAGCAGUGGGGAAUAUUGCACAAUGGGGGAAACCCUGAUGCAGCAACGCCGCGUGAGUGAUGACGGUCUUCGGAUUGUAAAGCUCUGUCUUUGGGGACGAUAAUGACGGUACCCAAGGGGGAAGCCACGGCUAACUACGUGCCAGCCGCCGCCGUAAGAC
rnacentral:rRNA from 1 species